rnacentral:rRNA from 1 species
GACGAACGCUGGCGGCGUGCUUAACACAUGCAAGUCGAACGGAAAGGCCCUGCUUUUGUGGGGUGCUCGAGUGGCGAACGGGUGAGUAACACGUGAGUAACCUGCCCUUGACUUUUGGAUAACUUCAGGAAACUGGGGCUAAUACCGGAUAGGAGCUCCUGCUGCAUGGUGGGGGUUGGAAAGUUUCGGCGGUUGGGGAUGGACUCGCGGCUUAUCAGCUUGUUGGUGGGGUAGUGGCUUACCAAGGCUUUGACGGGUAGCCGGCCUGAGAGGGUGACCGGCCACAUUGGGACUGAGAUACGGACCAGACUCCUACGGGAGGCAGCAGUGGGGAAUAUUGCACAAUGGGCGGAAGCCUGAUGCAGCAACGCCGCGUGCGGGAUGACGGCCUUCGGGUUGUAAACCGCUUUCGCCUGUGACGAAGCGUGAGUGACGGUAAUGGGUAAAGAAGCACCGGCUAACUACGUG